GAUGAACGCUGGCGGCGUGCCUAAUACAUGCAAGUCGAACGGACGGACGAGAAGCUUGCGUCUCUGAUGUUAGCGGCGGGGGGGUGUGUAACAUGUGUAUAACCUACCUAUAAUACGGGGAUAACUUCGGGAAACCGUAGCUUAUACCGGAUAAUAUUUUGAACCGCAUGGUGCAAAAGUGAAAGACGGUCUUGCUGUCACUUAUCGAUGGUUCCGGGCUGCAUUAGGUAGUUGUUAAGGUAACGGCCUACCAAGGCAACGAUGCAUAGCCGACCUGAGAGGAGGAUCGGCCACCCUGGAACUGAGACACGGUCCAGACUCCUAAGGGAGGCAGCAGUAGGGAAUCUUACGCAAUGGGCGAAAGCCUGACGCAGCAACGCCGCGUGAGUGAUGAAGGUCUUCGGAUCGUAAAACUCUGUUAUUAGGGAAGAACAUAUGUGGAAGUAAAUGUGGAGAGCUUGACGGUAACUAAUAAAAAAGCAACGGCUAACUACGUG
rnacentral:rRNA from 1 species